rnacentral:lncRNA from 1 species
AAGAUAAAAGUUUCUCCAUUCUAAGAAGAAGGGAGAGUACCUUUUAUGCUUUAUGAUAGGUCUUAAUGAUUAAGAACCAUAUCUCAAUUGAUCCUCUAAGUGAGUCUUAGUACAAUUGUAUGUCUAAGAAGAGGAAUCAAGAAUUGAAGAAAUGGUUAAAUCAAGAAGUCAAUCAUACUUCGUUCCAAUAACAAGUCUUAAAGUUAAGAUUGUGACAUUGAGUGAAAAGUAUUAAGAAGGUUUAUAACAUUCAUUAAAUGUGGAAAGUUGUGAUGUCUUGGAUAAGACAAAGACCAACUAGGACCAAUUUAUGAAGUGUUUUGAUAAAAGCUACACUAACUCUUGAAUAUUUGUUUGUCAAGAAAUGGUUAUUGACAAGAGAAUCUUAUAUGUCAAGGAGUCAGUGGGAGUCUUAAUGGUCUUGAAAGGUUUCAAGAACAAAUCAAAUAAACCUUAUCGAUCAUCACUAGCACACGAGUUGAGGUUUACAACCUAUCGUGUUGACAUUAUUUUGAUUCUGUGCCAAUCCAAUCGAGUUAAUUAUGCAUGUGAGUUCUAUGAGUUCUCAUUUUGAACGCAUAAAAGGCAAAGCACCUUAAUCAAUGAAAGGUACAUUGAUAGGAAAGGGUGAGCUGCUUAACUACUUGGAAGACAUGGUGGGCAGCUGUGCUACCAUAAGGCAAGAAAUCAAGAUUAAGAAAGUUCGGUCCAUAUGAGUUUGAAUUUGUCGUAAACUUUGGUUUUAACAAAUUCACAUGGAUAGGAACACAUACACCGUUUAAAUCUAAGUGUCAUAAGAUUUCCUCCUUCAUGAAAAUGAUUGUGAGGAAAUGCUUUCACUAAGAAAGAUUUUAAGAAGAUAGUGAUUGUAAAAUUGCAUUCUCGAAUUCAAUUAUGGUUACGGCAUCCCUUUCCAUAAUUUGAAUUGUGAGGUUUGGCAAUUAGUCUUAAUUGUUUAGACACACAUAUGAACUAUCGAAGGCAAAGGUGUAUAAGUUCAAGAAGCCUUGAUAAAAGAUUAUCAAAGCACUAAGUAUUAGAAACAUGAACUUAAGAAAUUCAAUAAGUAUUGUUUUUCUGAAAGUUAAGAUGUUUAUGAAUACAUGUCGAAGCUAGUGGGAGCAUAAGUGUUAUGUUUUAUAAUAAUCAUCAUGAUAGUGGGAGCAUAAAUGUUAUGAUUGUAUGAUUAUUAAGGCACGUAUUGCAAGUUGGCAAUAUUAAUUAUAGAAAACAAGAGUUAUACCUUGCAAAGUCGUAAGGGUUGUAAAGUUGUUUUGCUAUAAUUAAGGGAGAGAAUAUUAUGCUUCAUUUCAAAUCUAAAGGAUUAGGUUGAGAAAUGUUAAUAAAUUUAGUCAAAGGUACAUAGUGUGUUCUUAAAAUUUCGAUUAUGAUUACGGCAUUCCUCUUCACAAUUCGAAUUUUGAGAACAUAGCAAAUAAAACAUUAUGCGUCGUGUCCCAUACGCUUCGGGUAUAGGAUCGAUUGCAAAUGCUUUAAUGUUUGACCAUUCUAAAAUUUUCCAAAUGUCUAGCGCAUUUAGAGGGAAAAAGGACAAGAAUCGGUUUUGACUAAGAUAAUUAAACAACUAUCAAAGGACAAUCCAAAGUUCGCCGAGGAUUGGUCGCUUGUGAGUAGUUGGAAGUAUAGUAUUGGAAAAUAUGGAAAUGUUUCCAUAUUGGAUGGACCAUAUCGACAUUAUUAUGAAUAGAUAAGAUUCUAUUAAGAAUGAGUUGUCAUAUGGAAAAUAUGGAAACGUGUCCAUAUUGGGAAUUGAAUAUUGAAAAUCUAUGUCUAGAUUAGAAACUUUUAUGCAAAAGGAUGUUCAAAGGAAUGUACUUUGAGUGAGAGACAUCAUAUCUAAGGAAUUGUCUUGUAACAAUCUCCGAUAGAGGACUUUGUAAUAUCAUUGGCAAUAGUCUUUGUGACUUUGGUGCAGUGACAUUACGAAAGGAUCAUUGCAUAAAAUGUUAGAAUCUAGCAUAUUCUAUAAGUAGCAAGAAUUUGAUAUUCUUUCACUUAUGAAAAAGGAUUUGGAGUUGUGAAAUGAGAAUGAUUGGAAAUGUGUUCAAUUUGAUCUAUUUCACAAAGUAAGAACCAUAGGUAAACAUUGUGUGCAUGCUAGGAGCAUGGGACAAGUGUAAUAAUUCAAGUAAGAAGUUGAUUACCCGAAACGACAAAUAAUGAGUAAUCGAUAUGGUGAUAAAUAAAAGGUGUUUUAUUUAUACUCAAAGGUUUGAGGCCAUAUGGGAUUAGUAUUAUUCUUGUGUUUCACUUUGCAUGUUUUGACUUCCUGAAUAAUUUAAUUGGUUAAGAACAGUCAAAUUAUUCGAACGGGCCACAGUCGUUCAUAUGUUGGAAGUAGGUAUGAAUGAAGACUGUCGUGAAUUGGUGUGUGGAUUGUCUAAAGAGUAUUAGACAUAAGCAAAUGUUUGCUGCAACGUUCAUGAGUGCUUAUGAAUAUGAUUUGAGCAUUGGAUUAAACCCACGCUCACUUGGAUCACUCCAUGAAUUGUAUCACGAGUGAUUGGUGAGACGAUAACAUCUUAUAUUCUUGAAACCGAGAUGUGUGAGUUGUAUCUUGCAAAUCGGUUGCACAUUGAUAAUAUGUAAACGCACUAGUAACUUGGUGUUAUAAAACAUAUUGUUGUGUGUGAUUCGGUGAGUGAGUGCAAGCAAGCAUUGUAUCAAAGUUUAUCCGUUCCUUUUAUCCAAAGUAGGAUAAAAGCGAUAUCUUUGGGCCCCUCGAUGAUUUAGUGAUGACAAACGUAAAUGCUCGGCCGGGCUAGGGCUAAUUUGAUUUGUUCAAUUAGUCAGUCGUCAUAAAUCGGGAAUCGAGAUAUAGUACAAAGAGAAUGAUUUGAAAUCAUAUCUCAUAUGAUAUCUAGAAUGGAGGAAUAUAUGAUCCCUUAUCUAAGGACACGCGUAUCUGAUAGGAUCAGAGUUGACAGCGGCUUUGGAAAGCUACGAUUGCAGAUCAGGAUCUGAAGUCAUACGCAGAAUAGUUAUUAGACUUAUCCAAGUGGGAGACUGUUGGAUUAGUGUCUAAGUCCAUAACUAUUUUGGUAUGUACUUGACCCGAUGGUGCAUGGUCCUUUUGGGUUGCCUUCACCAAAGCAACUUGAUAGGAUGAAUUAUGGAGAGAAAGGAUUAAAUAUGAUUUAUUAAUAUAUUAUGAGAAUAAUAUAUUAAAGGAGAAAUCAUAUUGUUUAAUUAAUAUUAGUCAAUAAUUAAUUGGUAAUUAGUUUUGUGACUAAAAGAGAUUAAUUAAACUUAAGGGACUGGAAUUGUAAUUAUAAGAUAAUUGCAAUUUGGGCCAUGGAUUGUCUUAAAUCAAGAGGUGGACGAAUUCUUAUGGGAAGCCCAUAAGGAAAUCGUCCAAGGGCUUGAUUAAAGGAGUCUAUGGGUUGCUUAGGGCUUAAGCAACCAAAUUAGGGUUUCCUUGUUAGAUAACCCUAAUAGCCUCACUAUAUAUAGAACCCUUAAGGCUCAAAAACGUGGGGAACUUCUUUUCUAGGGUUAGAACACGUUUUGGGCAGCCUCCAUCCUCUCUCCUCUUCAUCCUCUUGCUUAUGGUGUUUGUAAGCCAUUAGAGGAGUGACACUUGUGACUCUAAGCCUUCCAAAGUCAAUUCAAGGAGGAAUUGGGAUUGUUAUUGCUACAUAACAAUCAAGGUAAUAUCUUAAACCUAAUUAUAUGUUAAUAUUGAUUUCCAUAUGCUAGAAUUAGGGUUUAUAGUCUUGGAUUCAAAGCAUGUACAAUAGAGAAACCUAGAUCCAAGCAUUAGGGUUUGUAUGAGCACAUAGGAUGUCUUAUGACCAAAACCCAUCAGUGGUAUCAGAGCCUAGCUUGGUUUCAAUUGUAUUGAUGCAUUGCAUAUCUGGAAAAUUCGUUUUUUGGGUUUCUGGAGGCUGGACUCGCCGAGUCCAUAGCUGAACUCGCCGAGUCCAAGGUGACUCGACGAGUCCAGGCUUGACUCGACGAGUCAACUCGUCAGAUGGAGGUUAUCUCGGGAUUUCUUGCUGUUUUUGCAUUGGGAUAAUUACCUUAUCAUGUUAGAUCAAUAUUAAUCCGAUUAUAUGAUAUAUUUGACUAUAUUUUUGAUCUAAUUGAAGAUAUUUAUCAAUUAAUAAGAUAAUUGUUUCCUUAUGUGAUAAUUGAUUAAUUAUUUUGACUAAAUUGAUAAAUUGUUUUGCAAGAAAUCAUUAAAUAAAUCAAAUAUGGAUAAUUAUGUGAUUAAAUGUUAAUUUAGAUUAUUUGUUAUUUGAUCCUUGUUGUUAUGAAAAGUUUCAUAUUUUCCCCCUUAGGUUUUAUAGUUUAAAUUUGAACCCAAAAGUUUUGUUGUUUUGAAAUUUAAAUAGUUGAAACCCUAAUGUUUUGAAAAAGGUUUCAAAACUUGCCCUCAAGUUUUGGAAUUUAAAUUUUGAUUAAAUAGUUUAAUUUUGAUGUAUAUUUAAAUUCUAAACCCUAAUGUGUUGAAAUGUUUCAAAACUUGCCCUCAAGUUUUGGAAUUUAAAAGUUGAUUAAAAGUUUAAUUAGGAAUGUUAAAUUCUAAAACUCUAGUAUAGUUUUGAAAAAGUUCAAAUCACACCCUUAUGGUUUUAUUAAUUAAUUAAGGUGUAUAAUUAAAAGAGGUUUAAUAAAUCCAUAAAAGUUUAGGUUUACAAUUUAAUUGAAUUAAAAGUAUAAUUGUUAAAUUUGACCACCUAGUAUUUUAAAAGUGUAAAAUACACCCUAUACUAUAUAUAACAUUAAAAGUCUAACAUUAUAUAUAUGUAUGAGUAAAAGUCAGUCUUACCGUUAGUAGGCCUCAUUCACGAAGCUGGUCUAUAAGGGGUGUUUAAGGAAAUUGCCUAUAAAAUGGCGAUUGAAUGGGUAUCCACUCUUACCCACCGCACUCUUGACUAGUGGAGGGUCGUUAGCCGAACGGGUAGGAUAGGACGAAACCUUCCAUUAUAAGUAUAAUGAAGUAUAAAAGUAACUAAAUGUUUUCAUAAAAUUCCCAAUCUUAGUUACUUAGGCAAAAGUGAAUUGAUGCAAUUCCAUGAAAUUACACUUUGUGCCCUUGCGAAGACGUUAGUGGAGCGUGUGUGGUUUACCGGCACACUAAAUGGUUCUAAGCAAAGGUAGCAAAGGGUGACUCAAUGUUUGUCAUAGUUCGGUGGAGCGUGUGUGGUUUACCGGCACAUCGAAUAGGUGACUGUAACAUGUGAGGGCACCAUGUAAGUUUGCAUGGUUAUUCACACCCGCUUUGUGAUCCUCGGCAUCCCAGUCACAAACAAGAGGGGCAUAUCGAGAUUUAAACAUGCCAUUGAAAUGUUCAAUGAAUCUCAAAGGAUCUAGGAGUUUUCAUAGAUUUAAAACUUAAAUUUCUUUUUCGUUUUUCAUGGUGGAAAUUAGUGAAUCGUCAUUCACUUACCUUCAAAUGUUCUGCAAUUUGGGUUACGGCAUCCCUCUCCCGAGUUGUAGAAUAUUGUGUUGGGUCCUAGCCUUAGUAUCUCAUUUGGGUGAUUUACUAAGGACUCAAUCAAUCAACUAACUUGAAUUCGUUUUCUCCCGUUUUGUAGAUGUCAAAGUUCGACAACUAUGGUCUUCCCAAAUCCCGUGGAACAAGCAUUCCACAUGAAGAUGAUAUUCCACGAUUCGAUCGAGGAACAAGAAAUCAUGCUUCACUUCCUCCACCUCCUCCAAUUAUUCUCCCUAACCCACAAGUUCAAAGGCUUGAAAAGUUCAAGAUCACUCAAGCCCUUUUGGCAAGUAAACAUAAAGAAGGAAAGUCGGUGUGUGCACACGUCCUAGGGAUGAAGUCACACAUUGAUAGGUUAAGAAUGUUGGGAUCCGUUGUCUGUGAGGAGAUGGCUGUUGAUUGGGUUCUUCAGUCACUUCCUAACUCAUAUAGUGAGUUCGUAAGAGAGUACUAUAUGAUGAACCGCGACGUGACCCUUAUAGAUCUCACCUAUAUGCUUAUUGCUGCUGAAUCAGCAAUGGUUUGGCGCAAUAGAAAAGCAAAGUUGAUUGGUGAAUCUGCCUUCAAGACCUCUAUGGAUAUAGACAAUGGCAACGAAAGACAUGCUAUGAUCGAAAAGUUUGAUCAUAAGAGAAAGGCAAUGUCUGAAGUAGUUCCAUGUCAUGUUCCAAAAGAGUCAAUUUGCUUUUAUUGCCAAGAGAAAGGGCAUUGGAGACGAAGCUGCCCCAUUUACCUAAGAGAUCUAAGAGAUGGGAGAGUCGAAACGUAUGGCUCUAAUAUAGGUAAAAUCCAUUAACUAACUCUUUUAAGCUUCUAUUCUAGAUUCUUAAUACAUAAUGUGAUAAGAUUACAAUUGAUGUUUUGUAGGAUCGAAGAAAAGAAAGGAAGCUUAAGGGAAGAAGUGAGCAGAAUCUAACCGUGAAGGAAUGGAUUUCGAUCGCAUUUCUCGAAGAUUAGAUUCUUGAGCUACUACUUAGAGUUAGAAUUAGAUUGCUAAGAAAGAUGUAUUAGCAUAGUUUUUCAAUGAAUUGCAUUGUAAGGACAAAUUUUUCCGCAAUAAAAUAAAUUUUGAUUUUAUAUUAUUUAUUUAUCCUUGCAAUGGCGUAUAUGAAAAAUUGAUGUUUGAAUGUUUCUAUUAUUAGCAAUAAUGGAUUUGGUUCUUAUUAUGUUAUUUAUGGAAAGUCGAGAGUUUACCAAAUAGGGAGAGUUUCUCAUCGCCCAAGUUUCAAUUGGACAGAAACUUGGAAUCAUGCAACUUGGUUGCACGAUGAAUGAGAAAUUUCAUAUUUGGAAAUUAGACUAAUUCAUUGACAAAGUGUCAAGUGAAGGACUAGGAGAUCGAGUACACAAAGUUGCGUGUUGAUCAAGUCCACCAUAAGAGUAACAAAGAUAUUCGUCAUGAUUUACUAAAGGUUUAGUAAAUAUGAUUAUACUUAUAAGAUUAAGUGUAAUUCUGAAUUGAUUGAAAAAGUUUAAAUCAAUAGCAGAACGAAUAAGAAGAAUCAAGUAGGCAGAAAGAUAAAAGUUUCUCCAUUCUAAGAAGAAGGGAGAGUACCUUUUAUGCUUUAUGAUAGGUCUUAAUGAUUAAGAACCAUAUCUCAAUUGAUCCUCUAAGUGAGUCUUAGUACAAUUGUAUGUCUAAGAAGAGGAAUCAAGGAUUGGAGAAAUGGUUAAAUCAAGAAGUCAAUCAUACUUCGUUCCAAUAACAAGUCUUAAAGUUAAGAUUGUGACAUUGAGUGAAAAGUAUUAAGA